GGCCGCGCCCCGCCCCGCGCGCCGGGGGAGGGAGCUGGGGCCGCAGGUGCACCCGGCGCCGCUGCCCGUCUCCGGGUCGGGUACCGGUAUAAUCCGCUUCUAGCUUGUUUGGAAGCGUGGACUCUUGGGAGCGGGACUUCUGCGCGAAUCUUGUCGGGGGCUUGGAAAGCAGGAAAAUUAGGCCAUUUGCAGUGAAGAAGAAUUGCUCCGGGUCGAGGGGAGGUGAGGUAGGUCCCUGCUGGAUAGAAGAGGCGGCAGUGAGGGCCCAGCAGUUGGGGCGUGUGGCCGAAAGCGGGAGGUAGGACUGGGGAAGGAGAACGCCGGCGCGGAGAGGAGGGAGGGUGUCCGGAGCUAGGCAAAGAUGGGGAGCAGGAUGGCGGAGCCCCAGCUAGUGGGGGCCCAGCUUGAGUCACUCAGCCUCAUGCUCGGCUCCUGGUGCUUCUCAGAUUUUCCUCCUCUUUGACUUCGGAAAAUAUUUUUUAUUAGGCAGGAAAGCUCUGAGGACAUAUUUUGAGAGAAACGUAGAAGUAAAGAGCUGACUUCUGGAAACUUUUCUUGGCAGCUUUAAAAAUAAAAUUCCGUUCAGGCAGCAUUUAUUGAGCACUUACAGCAUGAUCUGUGUCGGACAUUGAAAGAAUCCGGACAGGGAGGGAAUUCCCAUCUACAGUAAUGGUGAGGACUGUUUGCUUGUCCACAACCCAUGGACAAGAACGACAGUGACUGAGACCUUUCUCCCCAAACGUUUCUGGGCCUCAGAUCUUGCAGACUGUGGGAGAAAUCCAGCACCAUAAAGGUAAACCGCGUGUGCAGCCGGCUUUUAUUUUUACAAUCCAUAAAUCCCCUCCAAGCACCCCCUCAGCUAGGACAGGGUUAGACUUCUUGCUUCUGUCUUGACACUAGUUGACCGAAACACUGUUGAAAUCCUAGUGUGAGAUGGGAGACCGUUACACUUAAGUGAUAAAAAUAAGGGCUUGGGAAAGUUGAUUGGG
rnacentral:lncRNA from 1 species